GUGUCAGCAGCCGCGGUAAGACAGAGGGUGCAAACGUUGUUCGGAAUUACUGGGCAUAAAGCGCACGUAGGUGGUCCGCUAAGUCGCGUGUGAAAUCCCUCGGCUCAACCGAGGAAUUGCGGGCGAUACUGGCGGGCUAGAGAUCGGGAGGGGUGAGUGGAACUCCAGGUGGAGCGGUGAAAUGCGUAGAUAUCUGGAGGAACACCGGUGGCGAAAGCGACUCACUGGCCCGACACUGACACUGAGGUGCGAAAGCUAGGGUAGCAAACGGGAUUAGAAACCCGCGUAGUCC
rnacentral:rRNA from 1 species